rnacentral:rRNA from 1 species
ACUCCUACGGGAGGCAGCAGUGGGGAAUAUUGCACAAUGGGGGAAACCCUGAUGCAGCCAUGCCGCGUGUGUGAAGAAGGCCUUCGGGUUGUAAAGCACUUUCAGUAGGGAGGAAAGGUAGCAGCUUAAUACGAAGUUUCUGUGACGUUACAGAAGAAGGACCGGCUAACUACGUGCCAGCAGCCGCGGUAAUAC